AUUAUAGUUAAUUGUAAACCGAGAAUCUGUCACUGUUUUUGCUUUUGCUAUUAGUUUAGUUGAAGUUAAAGGGAGAAGAAGAAGAAGGAAAACUGCAAAUUGAAGCAGCAUGGGUCUUCAAAAAGAGUUAAUUUUGUGGAAAAAUCGUAAGUAAAUGAGAUUAAACGUGUAUGGGUCUUCAAAAAGAGUAGGUGAAUAUAGGCCUUUGGAUGAGAUGAAAUAAACACGUUCAAUUGCCUUCUGAAAAGUUGCAGCAAAAGACUUAUUAAAGGAGACAGUUCAAUUCAUUUCAGAUAUCUACACAACCCUGC